GUUAUUUCUAAGGGGAUUCAAGGUAGAAGUGGUGUAUGGUAAAAUUAUCAUAGCCAUUAUUAUCUGAAGGUCAUAAUGUAAAUAUUUUUAAACGAACUAAUGAGCUGGAAAUUCCAAAAUUUUCCAAGUGGGUCAGCCUUGAAGAAAGAAAAGCAGCGAGAGAGUGAUGGAAAGAACACCUUGAAGAGUUUCACUCUCGGUACAUCUCAGAUAUCACCUCUGUCAUUUUGGCGAGCCAUCUUAUGCAGUCCACUUUUAGCUCAAUUUUCACGUGAGUCACCUCAAAACUUCAAGCUGCAAAAUGGCCCAGUUGCAGCAGGGAGCAAUGAAGCUUUCCAGAAUCUUGUGAAAUAAGACGAUUUGUGAGCAGAAUCACCCAAACAAUACUUCUCAGGGUUAUUUUAAGCUUUUACUUUUGCCGUCUCCCUGACAACUUUAGCUCAGUGAGGACAGAUCUGGCCAGUUAAUGAAGAAUAGAGGAUAUGAAACACAAGGAAGAACAAACACUUUCCAGCCCCUGGGCUGAUGAGGAAGUCCACAGCAGAACCAAGGGAGUGGCUGCCGCCAAGCUACAGCUUUGGUGAGGAGUCUCCCCAUCAACUCUACACCCACGGUCCCCCAAACCCAGGACUCAGCUGCAGUUGAGAAGGGGCACCACGAAUUCCUCUGCCUUAUAUUUCUGUACUUCCAAGUGAUUAAGUUUCAAAUGUGUUGAAGGUCCCUACUCAGCAGCUCUGACCAUCAAAUAAACAAAAUGAAUGAGUUUUGCUCAUCAUCAAUUUAACCAAAAAACUAGAUGUUGACAAUAUCACCUUCUAUCCUUUAUCUACAAUGAUGAUAUGUAAUGAACCACCCAAACCCAGUGGCUUAAAGCAAUAAGGAUUUAUUUUGCUUAGGAGUCUGUGUGUUGCUGAAGGCUGGGUUCAGCUGUGCAGUUUGGGCCUCAGCUGGGCUUGCUCUCAAGUCUGGGAGUAGCUGGCUGUUGGCUGAUCUAGGGUGGCCCCAGUUGGGAUGUCCGGAACAACUAGGCUCUGCUCCAUAUGUCUCAUCUUACAGUAGGCCAACCAGGCAUCUUCUCAUAGCAAUCACAGAGGAGCAAGAGAAUGAGCAAAAACAUGCAAGCACUUAUUCACACCUCUGCUUGAGGGUCACAUUUGCUAACAAGCCAUUCUCUAAGGCAAGUCACAGGCUGAUCCCAGAGUCAAGGGGUGGGAUAGAAUCCUCAACCCACAGGGCACUGCAGAGUUACAAGGCAAAGGGAAUGGGUACAGCGAGGGAUGUAGAAUGGGAGCCAUUAAUACAAUCGAUCUCCUGUACACGUUUAAUGACAGUUUGUCUACAGUUGGAGACAAGGCAAUCCUGACUAGGCUGGUCACUUUACAACAUGCCUAAUCUCUGGUUUAGGGCC
rnacentral:lncRNA from 1 species